AUGUGUAUUCCAAAGAAGGAAGGUGGUAUGGGAUUCAGAGAUAUCCACUGGUUUAACCUUGCACUGGCCAAAUAGGCAUGGCGUCUUAUUGGUAACCUUGACUCUCUACAUGCAUUGAUUUUAAAAGCUAAAUACGUCCCAGAUGGAGACCUUAUUAAUGCAGUUUGAAAAAAGAAAGUGUCCAACACUUGGCAAAGUAUCAUGGCAGGAGUGGAAACACUGAAACGUGAACAUAUUUGUAGAGUUGGAGAUGGAGCUCAAGUCAAGAUUUGGGAGGAUUCUUGGAUUCCGCGGUCCCCAUCAAGAAAGAUAAUUACACCAAAGGGAAAGCAUCUUCCCUCACGUGUCAGUGAUCUUAUUGACCCUGCAUCAGGCUAUUGGGAUGAACAAGUGGUUACGCAAACGUUCUGGCACAUGGAUGCUCAAAGGAUACUUGCAAUUCCCCUGCCCUUGAAUGAAAUGAAAGACUUUGUGGCUUGGAACCUAACAAAAGCGAGAUUUUUUCAGUGA
rnacentral:rRNA from 1 species